rfam:Arabis alpina cultivar Pajares scaff_45906_1_contig_0, whole genome shotgun sequence.
GCAGUUAAGUGUGCUUGGGUGAGAGUAGUACUAGGAUGGGUGAACUCUUGGGAAGUUCUCGUGUUGCACCGC